GACGGAGGGGGCUAGCGUUGUUCGGAAUUACUGGGCGUAAAGAGCGCGUAGGCGGUCUAGCAAGUUGGAAGUAAAAGCCCGGGGCUUAACCUCGGAAUGUCUUUCAAAACUGCUAAACUAGAGUGUGGUAGGGGGUGACGGAAUUCCUAGUGUAGAGGUGAAAUUCUUAGAUAUUAGGAGGAACACCGGUGGCGAAAGCGGUCACCUGGGCCAUAACUGACGCUGAGGCGCGAAAGCGUGGGGAGCAAACAGG
rnacentral:rRNA from 1 species